GGUACUUGGAGGAUUUUGUCAGUGGGAUCCUGUUGUUGGAACCCUCAUGAGCAUGGAGCUUUGCCAGGAAUGCAGCAUUUGCUCUGACCUGAGGAAUCAUUUGGAAAAGUCUUGUCUUUUGUGUUAAUCCUAGUGCAGAAUCUGUCAUUAGUUGUGAAGAAACACAUUCAGUGUCAUCGUGAAGAACUCAGGGAGUAACAGCCUAAAUCAGCUUCCUUCAGCUCUAAAUGUGGGUGUAAAUGUCAGCAGAGGGAGAUGAACACACCUGAGGGAAAGCAGGACAAACCAACUUGGAUUUGGCAAAUGCCAUCCCUGUCACUCAGGUUUUCCAUCAUUUACCUGUCCAAUCUCCUGUUUGGUGUUGUUCCAUGACAAACAACUUCUGUAUAAAGGAAAACAAAGGUAUAUAUUUUUUUUUCUAUUGAGUUUGUUUUGUUCUGGUGUAAUAUAUUGUCCUUAGAACAUCAUGUAAAGCUGAGAGAUGAAGCAACUGAUACAUUAUUUAUAACGAGCAUAAAAAAUACAUUAAUGUACAAUGCA